GCUUUGGUAGCUAGCGAGGGCUUUGAGACGGCCGAGAGUUUGAGCGCCAAGGCUCUCUCUCCCCAGGGGACUCUGCAACCUGACUAGGUGCUCCUUCCCUGAGGGUGGUAGGAAUGUAUCAUGGUGGGAGAGUCAUGGCAGCAGGCAGCUGGAACAGGACACUAAGUAAGAACACCUUCAACUACAAGCAGAAGUCAAGGAGAACUGAAAGUGACAACUGGAACCUUGAGAGCCAAGGGAGAUUGUGGAGAGGAUGUGAGCAGAUGGCCGCUGAGGAUAGCUGACCGGGUGGGUGGGCUGGAACCUAGGCCAGGACCUGCCACCUGAGGAUUGUGCCUGCGAUGUCCAUAUGAUUGUGAACAGCUAAACAGGGAGCUCUGCUCUGUUGAAAAUCAUAAAGUUGAAAAUGAAAAGAGAUAAAACCUUAAGCACAGAAGAAUAUUUUGUCUUUGGUGAAAAGAACAACUUAAGAUUAAUUUUAUUUUUAUGCUGUAUAUGCGUGUGGGUAUGUGCAUGCAAAUUUGGGUGACUCCAAAGGUCAGAGCAUCAAAUCACUUGGAGCUGGGAUUAUAGGCAAAUGAAAGCUGCCAAGCAUAGGAAUCUAACGAAUGUCCUCUGUAUGAGCAGAGAGUACUCCUUACUGCAGAGCCAUGUUUCCAGCUUAAGGAGGGCUUUUAGAAAGAAGAUUGAUAGAGAAUACAUACUUAAUAGUUUGAUGUACUAAAAAGGUUAAUUUUUAUUCACUAUAGACACUAGAAAUAAUAUUUACAAUUUAUAUAAUGCAUGUGAUUAUAGAACUAGAAGUAACAAUAUUAAAUAUAAAUAAAUUAUUGUAAGUCAGAUAAGAGAGAUGGAAACCCCAGUAGGAAAAACCCAUUAAAGUAACUAAAAUGUGGACAAAUGAA
rnacentral:lncRNA from 1 species